GUGAUUUUGGCGUGUCUGGCCGGUGGUUCUGGCGAGUCAAUCAUGUGGUUCCAGCGUACUUGGCAGGUGGUUACGGCAAGUCGAGCAGGUUGUUCUGGUCUGUCCGGGAGGUGGUUCUGGCGUGUCCGGCACGUUGUUCUGGCACGUCUGACAGGUGGUGCCGGCAUGCCCAGCAGGUGAUUCCGGACAGUUCGCCACGUGGUUCUGGCAUAGCUGGAAGGUGAUUUUGGUGUGUCCGGCAGGUGGUUCCGUCGAGUGGAGCAGGGGUUUCCGGCGUGCUCCACAGGUGGUUCAGGCGUGUCUGGCAGGUGGUUCCGGUGUGUCUGGGAGGUGGUUCCGUCAUGUCUGGCAGGUGAUUCCGGAGUGUCCGGCAAGUGGUUCUGAAGUAGCCAGCAGGUGAUUUUGGCGUGUCCAGAAGGUGGUUCCGGCGAGUCGAGCAGGUUGUUCUGGCAUGCUCGGAAAGUGGUUCCGGUCUUUCCAGCAUGUAGUUCUGGCGAGACGAGCAGGUGGUUCCGGCGUGCUCGGCAGGUGUCUCAGGCAUGUCCGGCAGGUGGUUCCGGUCUGUCUGGGGGGUGGUUCUGGCGUGUACAGCCCAUGGUUCUGGUACGUUUGAGAGGUGGUUCGCAUGCCCAGCACGUGAUUUGGGACUGUCCGCCACGUGGUUGUGCCAUAGCUGGCAGGUGAUUUUAGCGUGUCCGUAAGGUGGCUCUGGCGACUUGAGCAGAUGGUUCCGGCGUGCUCGGCAGGUGGUUCAGGUGUGUCCGGCAGCUGGUUCUGGUGAGUCGAGCGGGUGGUCCCAGCAUGCUCUGCUUGUGGUUCAGGUGUGUCCGGCAGGUGGUCCCGGCGAGUUGAGCAGGUGUUUCCUGCGUGCACUGCUUGUGGUUCAGGCAGGUCCGGCAGGUGGUUCCGGUCGGUCCAUUAGGUGGUUCCGGCGUGUCCUGCACGUGGUUCUUCUACAUCUGAGACGUGCUUCUGGCAUGCCCAGCAUGUGAUUCCAGACUGCCCACCACGUGGUUCUGGCAUAGCCGGCAGGUGAUCUUGGCGUGUCCGGCAGGUGGUUCCAGCGAGUCGAGCAGGUGGUUCCGGUCUGUCCGGGAGGUGGUUCCGGGCUGUCCGGCACGUGGUACUGGCACGUCUGAGAAGUGGUUCAGGCAUCCCCGGCAGGUGAUUCUGGAGUGUCCGGCAAAUGGUUCUGGCUUAGCCGGCAGGUGAUUUUGGCGUGUCUGGCAGGUGGUUCUGGAGAUUCAAGCAGGUGGUUCUGGUGUGCUCGGCAGGUGCGCCUGGCGUGUCUGGCAGGUGAUUCCGGUCGGUCCUGUAGGUGGUUACAGCGUGUCCGGCACGUGGUUCUGGCACGGCUGCGAGGUUGUUAUGGCAUGUCCGGCAGGUGGUUCCGGUGGGUCCGGCAGGUGGUUCCGGUCUGUCUGGAAGGCGCAUCUGGCAUGUUCGGCACGUGGUUCUGGCACGUCUGAGACGUGGUUCCGGAAUGUCCGGCAGGUGAUUCCAGAGUGUCUGGCACGUGGUUCUGGUGUAGCCGGCAGGUGAUUUUGGCGUGUCCUGCAGGUGGUUCCGGUGAGUCGAGCAGGUGAUUCCAGCAUGCUCAGCAGGUGGUUCAGGCGUGUCUGGCAGGUGGUUCCGGGAGGUCUGGGUGGUGGUUUUGGUGUGUCCAGCACAU
rnacentral:lncRNA from 1 species